rnacentral:tRNA from 1 species
GGGACUAUGGCUCAGUGGAAGAGUGUUUGCCUGGCAGUGAGAGAGCAUUUGCCUGGCAGGUUCAAUCUCUGGUACUUCCA